rnacentral:rRNA from 1 species
CCAGAGAAUUUAGCAGAGAUGCUUUAGUGCCUUCGGGAACUCUGAGACAGGUGCUGCAUGGCUGUCGUCAGCUCGUGUUGUGAAAUGUUGGGGUUAAGUCCGCAAGAGCGCAACCCUUAUCCUUUGUUGCCAGCACGUAAUGGUGGGAACUCAAAGGAGACUGCCGGUGAUAAACCGGAGGAAGGUGGGGAUGACGUCAAGUCAUCAUGGCCCUUACGAGUAGGGCUACACACGUGCUACAAUGGCGCAUACAAAGAGAAGCGACCUCGCGAGAGCAAGCGGACCUCAUAAAGUGCGUCGCAGUCCGGAUUGGAGUCUGCAACUCGACUCCAUGAAGUCGGAAUCGCUAGUAAUCGUAAAUCAGAAUGUUACGGUGAAUACGUUCCCGGGCCUUGUACACACCGCCCGUCACACCAUGGGAGUGGGUUGCAAAAGAAGUAGAUAGCUUAACCUUCGGGAGGGCGUUUACCACUUUGUGAUUCAUGACUGGGGUGAAGUCGUAACAAGGUAAGCGUAGUGCU